ACGGGAGGCAGCAGUGGGGAAUAUUGCACAAUGGGCGCAAGCCUGAUGCAGCGACGCCGCGUGAGGGAUGACGGCCUUCGGGUUGUAAACCUCUUUCAGCUCCGACGAAGCGCAAGUGACGGUAGGAGCAGAAGAAGCACCGGCCAACUACGUGCCAGCAGCCGCGGUAAUACGUAGGGUGCAAGCGUUGUCCGGAAUUACUGGGCGUAAAGAGCUCGUAGGCGGUUUGUCGCGUCGUCUGUGAAAUUCUGCAGCUUAACUGCAGGCGUGCAGGCGAUACGGGCAGACUUGAGUACUACAGGGGAGACUGGAAUUCCUGGUGUAGCGGUGAAAUGCGCAGAUAUCAGGAGGAACACCGGUGGCGAAGGCGGGUCUCUGGGUAGUAACUGACGCUGAGGAGCGAAAGCGUGGGUAGCGAACAGGAUUAGAUACCCUGGUAGUCCACGCCGUAAACGGUGGGUACUAGGUGUGGGUUUCAUUUCACGGAAUCCGUGCCGUAGCUAACGCAUUAAGUACCCCGCCUGGGGAGUACGGCCGCAAGGCUAAAACUCAAAGGAAUUGACGGGGGCCCGCACAAGCGGCGGAGCAUGUGGAUUAAUUCGAUGCAACGCGAAGAACCUUACCUGGGUUUGACAUACACCAGACGCAGUCAGAGAUGGCUGUUCCCUUGUGGUUGGUGUACAGGUGGUGCAUGGCUGUCGUCAGCUCGUGUCGUGAGAUGUUGGGUUAAGUCCCGCAACGAGCGCAACCCUUGUCCUGUAUUGCCAGCGGGUUAUGCCGGGGACUUGCAGGAGACUGCCGGGGUCAACUCGGAGGAAGGUGGGGAUGACGUCAAGUCAUCAUGCCCCUUAUGUCCAGGGCUUCACACAUGCUACAAUGGCUGGUACAGAGGGCUGCGAGACCGUGAGGUGGAGCGAAUCCCUUAAAGCCAGUCUCAGUUCGGAUUGGGGUCUGCAACUCGACCCCAUGAAGUCGGAGUCGCUAGUAAUCGCAGAUCAGCAACGCUGCGGUGAAUACGUUCCCGGGCCUUGUACACACCGCCCGUCACGUCAUGAAAGUCGG
rnacentral:rRNA from 1 species